rnacentral:lncRNA from 1 species
UCCAGGAGUGACGCGUGAGUGAUUACAAGUCAGCGUGAACAGUACGGGGUUACUGUUCAUCUAUUUAUAGGCACCAGACACAGCCCGAAAAAAAUUACAUUCGUGUCCUUGAUAACUAAUCAUAACCAUAAUACAAAUUAUCAGGGACUAUGUGGUCUUUUCCUCUUUAAGUCGGUGCCAUCCUUCGUCUUAAGCAUGUCAUCAUGCAGAAGCUCUUUCAAUUGUAGCUUCGGCAUAUAUCUUCAUGUCGUAUCUGCUUGUGUAUCGUCUUGUCGAAGGUGUUUUUG